rnacentral:rRNA from 1 species
GGUUAAGCGACUAAGCGUACACGGUGGAUGCCCUGGCAGUCAGAGGCGAUGAAGGGCGUGCUAAUCUGCGAUAAGCGCCGGUAAGGUGAUAUGAACCGUUAUAACCGGCGAUACCCGAAUGGGGAAACCCAGUGUGACUCGUCACACUAUCAUUAACUGAAUCCAUAGGUUAAUGAGGCGAACCGGGGGAACUGAAACAUCUAAGUACCCCGAGGAAAAGAAAUCAACCGAGAUUCCCCCAGUAGCGGCGAGCGAACGGGGAGGAGCCCAGAGCCUGAAUCAGCAUGUGUGUUAGUGGAAGCGUCUGGAAAGGCGCGCGAUACAGGGUGACAGCCCCGUACACAAAAGCGCAUGUGUUGUGAGCUCGAUGAGUAGGGCGGGACACGUGGUAUCCUGUCUGAAUAUGGGGGGACCAU